AUUGAACGCUGGCGGCAGGCCUAACACAUGCAAGUCGAGCGGAUGACGGGAGCUUGCUCCUUGAUUCAGCGGCGGACGAGUGAGUAAUGCCUAGGAAUCUGCCUGGUAGUGGGGGACGACGUUUCGAAAGGAACGCUAAUACCGCAUACGUCCUACGGGAGAAAGCAGGGGACCUUCGGGCCUUGCGCUAUCAGAUGAGCCUAGGUCGGAUUAGCUAGUUGGUGAGGUAAUGGCUCACCAAGGCGACGAUCCGUAACUGGUCUGAGAGGAUGAUCAGUCACACUGGAACUGAGACACGGUCCAGACUCCUACGGGAGGCAGCAGUGGGGAAUAUUGGACAAUGGGCGAAAGCCUGAUCCAGCCAUGCCGCGUGUGUGAAGAAGGUCUUCGGAUUGUAAAGCACUUUAAGUUGGGAGGAAGGGCAGUAAGCUAAUACCUUGCUGUUUUGACGUUACCGACAGAAUAAGCACCGGCUAACUCUGUGCCAGCCGCCGCGGUAAAAC
rnacentral:rRNA from 1 species